rnacentral:misc_RNA from 1 species
CGUUUUCCUCUUUAGUUUUCUCAAAUUAACAUGAACUUGAUUUACUAGGAAUAGCUAGUUAUGUCAAUGGGAAGAUGUUAGAAGGAAAAUACAUGAAUAUAUGCUCUUAAAAUGUAGGGAUGGAGAGAACCUUCUUAUUGGGUUUAUGAAUUAUUCCCAAGUGUAAAAAUGCGGAUUGAGUUGAGGCUUUUCUUGCUUUCCACAAAUUUUUGGAGUAAAUGAUAAGAAGAAAGAUCUAUUCUGGUCAUGCCAGAUAGGAAAAUAGAAUAAAUACUGGCUUUAAUUUUGCCAUAUCAUCUUUAUUCCUUUGAUGUAGAAUUCCAUUAACAAUUCAUGGUCAUAUGCUUUCUCAGGGCAGAGUUUCAUGAGUCCCCAGUUGAACAACGUUUUGUUUUCUUACUCCACAUUUGAAGCAAUAACAUGAUUAAUCAUAGUAAAAUUCUUGUAGAUUUUGGGAGGCAUAAAAAUAAAGACUUUAUGUUUACGAUCAUUAAUAUUGUCCAUCAGAGUCUCUUUCAGUAGCACUUUGACUGCCACUGAAGCAAACAAUACAGCCAGGAUUGAAAAUCAUGGUUCUCAUUUUGCAUCAUGCGAUAUUUAGUGGUAACAUGCUUAUAAGUGCUUCAUAUUGAUUGAGAUCAAUGUAAACAAGGUUUGGUUGGAUCAUGUACCCUAGUCAUAUUGUCCUGAUACUAUUUUCUGUUCUAACAAAUGCUGCAAAUCAGAAUCUCAUACUAUAUUAAUAUGAGUGAUCACAGGUUUUCAAAAAACAGAAUGGAUGAAGCAGUAAAUUAUCAGACAAUUUCUUCAAGGAAUCUUGCCAGAUCUAUUCUGUCUGAAGGGGGCUGGUCAAACUUACUGGUUCUAAGCUUUUCUCAAUGCUGAUAGUUUACUUCCAUGCUUUGAGUACUUUAAAUUCCAUACAUGCAAUUUCUUCUCAAAAUUUUCAAGUAAAGAAAAACUUGUGUUAUUUCCACCCUUUUCUGGUUGGGCUGUUCCUUGUUAAUCUUGUUUAAUUUUCGUUUCCAUGUAGUGCACAGAAAAGAAACUUCAGCAGUCUGCAGACCUAGCACUUGUUUUUGUUGGUAGAGAGCUGCUGUCCUCAGAUGUUUCAUCAAGCAAAAAUGCAGACCCAGCUCUUGUGAACUUGCUCAAGGUCUCUUUUACAAGGUCUAAUUUCUCCUUGGCAUUCCCAUAUGUUGCUGCAUCAGAGGAGGAGACAAUAGAGAAUUCUUUGGUUUCAAGUUUGACAGAAACUUGUGGGCAGGACUCAAGAAUCAAUAAUGUUGCUUUUUCAGAGUCAUGCUUAAUAGAGGGCGACAAAUUUCAAAAGCUUGCAGAUGUGCAUGCAGUUCAUGACUAUCUGGUUUCAAAGAUGGAAAAGAGAACAGAUGGGCAAGCAGAUCUGGUUGUAUUCUGCCAUGGAGGCUUGUAUUCUUCAAAAGGACUUGAGCAACCACAAACUGAAAGUGAAACUUUGUCUGAGCUUAUCAGUUCUGUGGACACACUAGGGGCAAAGUACGAAGUACUGUACAUUUCAGAUCCAUUUCGGUCAAUCCAGUAUCCUUCUCAUCGAGAACUGGAAAGAUUUCUUGCUGAAGGUACUGCUGGAAAUGGAUCACUCAAUUCCACAAUUUGUGAUGAAGUUUGCAAGAUCAAAUCAUCUCUUUUGGAGGGAGUUUUAGUUGUAAGUUCCCAUUUUGAUGUUUCAUUUGUUUUUAAUUUGGUAAUGAUAGUGCUUUGUUUGUUGAAUGUCGGCCAUUCUGUAUUGUCAUCAAGUUCUGUAGUCCAUGUUCAUAGGAGAGGGCAUGCUUUUAAUGGCCUGCUAUAUACUAUUUCUCAUGAAGAGUGCUUCUGUUGUCUGUAUAAUGUGCUGUCUUGAGGAAAAAGUUUGUUUUUUUUAUAAGUAACUUGAUUAAGAAAUGUCAGGGGUUUUCAAUCAUAUAAGGUGUACACAAGUGCAAAUCCACCUUAGACUGGGAAAAAACAAUAAAGGGAAACAAAAUAAAGUCAUAGGACCAACUAUUAUAAUUUGUUCGUAUUACUUGUCCUCUGCUAACUGUACUAGAAAUAGAGAUCUCAAAGAAGAAUUCUUAUAUCAUCUCCUAUUUUUGUGUGAUAGAAUACUAGCAAAACUGGCCUAGGCAGUUCUAACAAACUUUCCCCCCUCUCCUUCUCUUUCCAAAUUAAAUUCCCAGUAGCACCAGCAUCCUUGAUUGGUCUUUCCCUUCAUUCUGGAGUCUAGACACUAGUGAAAUGCCAUAUCCACUUAACAAUCAUUGUUUGAUCAAAUAAGAUUGGAAGCCCCUGAUUGGCUUCCUGGAAUAUGCCGAUUUUAGUUAGCAACAAGCCUGCGAAUUUUGAAUUGAAGCCAAGUUUAGUGCCUUAGUUUUGAUGGGUAAAAAUUCCUUUUGACAUCCGAUUACCUAACUGGAUUUUUCUGUUCUUCUCUCAUCUUUUAAUUUAGCUGGUUUACAGUUGCUGUUUCUCCAUGAUUAAUUUUUUUUUCAUUUCUUUAAUGAGAUGAAUGAGCUUUUGCAAGGACUGAAGAGCUUAUUUUAAACUGAAGCAGCACUAAUGUUUUAGGACCUGAUAUCUUCAGGCAUAACUUUCAUGCUUGGCUGGUGAGAAACAAAGAAGGAAAAAGAGAGAGGAAAUUAAAUAAAAGAGAUAAUGAGGAGGGAAAGAAUAAGAAGUGAGACUGGGAACAGGGAAUUGAGAGAAAAUCUAGGAAUAGGAUUCUGUUAUUGUAAUUCAACACACAUGAAUUCUUUACAAUUCACUGGUCUUUUAUAUUGACUAUAGCCCUCAUAACCAAAACUAUUAACUAUAAAAUAGUGUAGUUGUACCAUUCACUAUCUACUAAUGAUUGUUCCCAAGUCCUAACUUUUCCCUCCCCAUGAAGAUCAUCCUUGUCCCCAAGGAUGAACUGAGAAAUACUGAAUUCACUCCUCUCAAUCUCAACACCAAGUUUCUUACAUGGUGCAGGGUCCAGUAAAUAAUUUUAUUGUUAGUUAAUAUAGAUGCAUUCUUUACAACUCCCUGUUCUUCUUUAUCUACUAUAGCUCUUAUAAGCAGAACUACUAACUAUAGAAUGCUGUAGUUUUACUUGGCACUAACUACUAACAAUUGUUCCUAACAUAAUGAAGAGGCAAGUGCCUUAGCUAUAAGGGGUUAUGUGUUUAUUUUGGUUCUCGGAAGAAAUAAGUAGUUCAGUAAAUUUGCUCUUUGGUUUUUAACAUCAUAUAUGAAAUUUCUCAAUUUGUACAACUAUAAAAUGCUGUAAUUUUACCGUGCAGUAACUACUAAUAAUUGUUCCUAACACAAUGAAGAGGCAAGUGCCUUAGGUAUGAGGGGUUAUAUGUUUAUCUUGGUUCUCAGAAGAAAUAAGUUCAGUAAUUUGCCCUUUGAUUUUUAAUAUCAUGCAUGAAAAUUCUGCAAUUGUCUAUGCUGGAGGUGCCAUCAUGUUCAUCUUCUUGCUUCCCUUCUUCCCAUCUGAUUUUUACAUUAUGCUUUAUAUUUUGAUGCUUUUGUUGUCCUGACAUACCUGUUUCUGAUGCCCCAGGGGAUCGUUUUGCUUAUCAUUUUAAUAUCAGGCCUUUGCUGUAUGAUGGGCAUUGAUACCCCAACAAAAUUUGAGAUACCCCAAGACUCUUAAUAGGCUUCGGUCAGAUAAUACCUUUGCAUUGUGCACCGAGCCUUCUGUUCGAGGUACUAGUGGAUGAGAUUAGUUAUCUAUAAUCUAAUAUUCAGUUGACACAGAUGUUGCCCUGUGAUUAUAGUCCAUUUGGUAAGGGCAUUAAUUUUGGUAAUAACGAAGCACAGUGUUUAUUUUAUUUUAUUUUUUUUGCGUGGACGUUGUGUGCCAUUGGUAUUUUUGUUGCAUCCUUGGGCAUUGUAAUCAUUUGUUCCUUGAGUAGAUAUUAUGGGGAAAAAAAACUUCAAUUGCAACAAAAAUUUAAGAUCAGGUUCAAUAUGUUGGCCUCCAAUGUUUGAGUAGAAAAUGUAAUAGAAAUGCACAAAGGGGAGUUCCAAAGGGCCUUUCUCAGUUUCUCUUUAGUGCAUCAUUUUACUCUUGUUUUAAGUGCAGGCAAUGUCUUCUGCCUUGCUGAGUUUACGUUUCUGCAUAUGUUUGUUUUCUAGUGCUGUUUGAGACUAGUGGACUUGAGGUGAUAACUUCAAGAUCAAUUUCUUUACCAUAAAG